UAGCCGUAAACGAUACUCGCUAGGUGUCGGCCACGGUGCGACCGUUGUCGGUGCCGUAGGGAAGCCGUGAAGCGAGCCACCUGGGAAGUACGGCCGCAAGGCUGAAACUUAAAGGAAUUGACGGGGGAGCACAACAACGGGUGGAGCUUGCGGUUUAAAUUUGGAUUCAACGCCGGAAAUCUUACCGGGACCGACAGCAACAUGAAGGCCAGGCUGAAGACUUUGCCGGAUUAGCUGAGAGGAGGUGCAUGGCGUAGUCGUGU
rnacentral:rRNA from 1 species